UCCGAGUUGUCCCCGGCAGUCUCCUAUGAGUCCCCGGCAUAACCCGCUGGUAACAUAGAACAAGGGUUGCGCUCGUUGCGGGACUUAACCCAACAUCUCACGACACGAGCUGACGACAGCCAUGCAGCACCUGUGUUCCGAUUCCCUUUCGGGCACGCCCGCCUCUCAGCGGGCUUCCGGACAUGUCAAGGGUAGGUAAGGUUGUUCGCGUUGCAUCGAAUUAAUCCACAUCAUCCACCGCUUGUGCGGGUCCCCGUCAAUUCCUUUGAGUUUUAACCUUGCGGCCGUACUCCCCAGGCGGUCGACUUCACGCGUUAGCUUCGUUACUGAGAGUGUCAAACCCCCAACAACCAGUCGACAUCGUUUAGGGCGUGGACUAC
rnacentral:misc_RNA from 1 species